GAUGUGUUGCUGAUUGACGCCA
rnacentral:siRNA from 1 species